CAAGUCGAGCGAUUUACUUCGGUAAAGAGCGGCGGACGGGUGAGUAACGCGUGGGUAACCUGCCCUAUACACACGGAUAACGUACCGAAAGGUACGCUAAUACGAGAUAACAUAUUUUUAUCGCAUGGUAAGAAUAUCAAAGCUCCGGCGGUAUAGGAUGGACCCGCGUCUGAUUAGCUAGUUGGUAAGGUAACGGCUUACCAAGGCGACGAUCAGUAGCCGACCUGAGAGGGUGAUCGGCCACAUUGGAACUGAGACACGGUCCAAACUCCUACGGGAGGCAGCAGCGGGGAAUAUUGCACAAUGGGCGAAAGCCUGAUGCAGCAACGCCGCGUGAGCGAUGAAGGCCUUCGGGUCGUAAAGCUCUGUCCUCAAGGAAGAUAAUGACGGUACUUGGGGAGGAAGCCCCGGCUAACUACGUGCCAGCAGCCGCGGUAAUACGUAGGGGGCUAGCGUUAUCCGGAAUUACUGGGCGUAAAGGGUGCGUAGGUGGUUUCUUAAGUCAGAGGCGAAAGGCUACGGCUCAACCGUAGUAAGCCUUUGAAACUGAGAAACUUGAGUGCAGGAGAGGAGAGUAGAAUUCCUAGUGUAGCGGUGAAAUGCGUAGAUAUUAGGAGGAAUACCAGUUGCGAAGGCGGCUCUCUGGACUGUAACUGACACUGAGGCACGAAAGCGUGGGGAGCAAACAGGAUUAGAUACCCUGGUAGUCCACGCCGUAAACGAUGAGUACUAGCUGUCGGAGGUUACCCCCUUCGGUGGCGCAGCUAACGCAUUAAGUACUCCGCCU
rnacentral:rRNA from 1 species